AGGAUGAACGCUAGCGGCAGGCCUAACACAUGCAAGUCGAGGGGUAACAUGGUGUGCUUGCACACUGAUGACGACCGGCGCACGGGUGCGCAACGCGUAUAGAACCUACCCUGUACAGGGGGGAUAGCCCGGAGAAAUCCGGAUUAAUACCCCGUGGUAACAUGAUAUGGCAUCGUAUUAUGUUUAAAGCCUUCGGGCGGUACGGGAUGGCUAUGCGUCCUAUUAGCCAGAUGGUGAGGUAACGGCUCGACCAUAGCUACGAGUAGGUACGGGGCCCUAGAGGAGGGGGACUCCCCCACACUGGUACUGAGACACGGACCAGACUCCUACGGGAGCAGCAGUGAGGAAUAGUUGGACAAGUGGGACGGAAGCCUGGACUCCGAGCCAUGACCGCGUGCGAGGAAGACGACGUACCCGUAGGGUUAC
rnacentral:rRNA from 1 species